GACGUAGGGCGCGAGCGUUGUCCAGAUUUAUUGGGCGUAAAGAGCUCGUAGGCGGCUUGUCGCGUCGACCGUGAAAACUUGGGGCUCAACCCCAAGCCUGCGGUCGAUACGGGCAGGCUCGAGUUCGGUAGGGGAGACUGGAAUUCCUGGUGUAGCGGUGAAAUGCGCAGAUAUCAGGAGGAACACCGAUGGCGAAGGCAGCACUCUGGGGCGUGACUGACGCUGAGACGCGAAAGCGUGGGGAGCAAACAGG
rnacentral:rRNA from 1 species